rnacentral:rRNA from 1 species
UUUAUGGAGAGUUUGAUCCUGGCUCAGGAUGAACGCUGGCGGCGUGCCUAAUACAUGCAAGUCGAGCGAACGGACGAGAAGCUUGCUUCUCUGAUGUUAGCGGCGGACGGGUGAGUAACACGUGGAUAACCUACCCAUAAGACUGGGAUAACUUCGGGAAACCGGAGCUAAUACCGGAUAAUAUUUUGAACCGCAUGGUUCAAAAGUGAAAGACGGUCUUGCUGUCACUUAU